GAUGAACGCUGGCGGCGUGCCUAAUACAUGCAAGUCGAGCGAACAGACGAGGAGCUUGCUCCUCUGACGUUAGCGGCGGACGGGUGAGUAACACGUGGAUAACCUACCUAUAAGACUGGGAUAACUUCGGGAAACCGGAGCUAAUACCGGAUAAUAUAUUGAACCGCAUGGUUCAAUAGUGAAAGACGGUUUUGCUGUCACUUAUAGAUGGAUCCGCGCCGCAUUAGCUAGUUGGUAAGGUAACGGCUUACCAAGGCAACGAUGCGUAGCCGACCUGAGAGGGUGAUCGGACACACUGGAACUGAGACACGGUCCAGACUCCGACGGGAGGCAGCAGUAGGGAAUCUUCCGCAAUGGGCGAAAGCCUGACGGAGCAACGCCGCGUGAGUGAUGAAGGUCUUCGGAUCGUAAAACUCUGUUAUUAGGGAAGAACAAAUGUGUAAGUAACUAUGCACGUCUUGACGGUACCUAAUCAGAAAGCCACGGCUAACUACGUG
rnacentral:rRNA from 1 species